GCUUUCGGCGUCUGCUCUACGCAAUUCCAGACGUCUCCGCCUCCGGAGGAGACCAAGGAGACCGUGCCCCUGGGCUCACCCUCAGGCCGUUCCGGGCUGUGUUUGGCCAGAUGGAGGAGGCUGUGAAGUUCUCACGCAUCGCCCCGAGGCGGCGGGAAGAGGCUCCCUGGUGAUGCUCACCCUGGCAACAUGCCCACUUGAAUCAGCUCGGCGUAAAACAGGGGGAGAAAAUCUGCUCUGUCUUUCCGGGUCCUAAGGGGGCCCUGCGGCCUCCUCCACCUCCCCCACCCCGCCCAGAUGGCAGUGUCUGUGAGGAGAGUCACCCAGGCGACAGCGGGCAGCACCACCAAGACUGGACGAUCCUGGAAACUCUUCAGGGCACAACUCUUGUGGUGACAGUGGCCCCAGAAGGUGAGCAGGCUGAGGCUGUGACCCAUACCACCUUGCUGCCUGAACAGAGAUGCUUUGGGAGUUGGCCUGUGUCAGCGAGCAGGUACGAAACAGCCCUGAUCGGCUCUGCAGCCACUGAUGCCCUGCAGUCUGUACCGUGGGUGCUCCGGCCACCACAGGGAGGGGCCCAGCUCCCUGAGGCUGGAGCUCCAGCCUGCAGGACACUCCGACACGCACGGGACACAGGACUCAGCAGGGGCAGGCCUGCUUGGAUGCUUUCCUCAGGCCUGCACACUGCCCACAGGUGGGCACUAGCUCUGAACCACUCUUGGCAUCCUCGCAUCGUGAACACCGGGCAUUCACCCGUAAGAGCCCUUUCUGAUGUCCCCUGUGUGAAUGGAAAGGCUGUGGACUUCCCGGGAGAGCCCCACAGGCAGCUUUGUGCCCAUCGGCUCAGCCGCAGGGAGGAAGACCAUGGGGAGCCCCCCCCACGUCGGGUUAUGUGUUGUUGGUCGCCGCCCCCCCCCACCCCAGGUCGAUUCUGGUUCUGGGCAACUGACAGCCUUGGCAACGAAGAAGCUCACGUUUAAAGUAAACCCCAGCCCGUUCAGAGCAGCCUGAAUUUUCCAGAAAUGCCCUCAAAGGCUGGCAGCUGUUACGCUGGUCCACAUGGGAGCUGAGCUCACGGGUCCUCUCCCCUGCUCUGUCUGUCUGUCCGUCCGCAGCUCCUCCCUGGGGAGGCCCUCUCCAGUGGUGGAGACCGCAGGCUCAAGGACAGCAGAACAAGCCGUGACUCAGCCUGAGCCGACCACUCUCCCUGGCAGGUGCCACACAAAGGCCCCCUGGACGUUUGAGACGGUACAGGGUGACAAGGACCGCACAAGCUGGGGGUGACAGCUGGAGGGCGGGUGAGGAGACUGCACGGGCUCACGUCGAGCAGCUCCUGGCUUCGGCUCCGCAUACGCCUUGGUACUGCAGGCAGAGCCUGGGUCCCAGGCCAGAAACCAGGGCAGAGGCCGAGAGCCAGAAGGUUCUUGGAGGACUUCUGGCCCCAGUUCCCCCUUUUCUCCAGAAAACAAGGCCUGGAGGUGGCUCCAGGGCUGUCCAAGGACACAAAGCUGGUCCAUGUGGACUUGACAGAGGGUCUCAGCAUGGCUGUGGGGGCCUGUGGCCCAUUAGCUCCCUGGGGUGGGGGUUCACACCACAGCCUCCGGCAGAGCCUUUGAAGUCCACGUUCCUGGCCCUGCCUCUGUGUUUAGUGGUUCGGGGGCCUGGGGUAACACCCGUAGAGGACCUACGCUCCUGUGUGUUUUCUCUCUACAAGCCCCAGUCAUCGCACCACCUUACUUACUGGGUCCAGGCGUCCAGAGCCAUGGCCCUGAGGGGCACAGCCAGGCCUGCAGGUCCACUGUCACGCACCAUCCUGCUCUCCUGUGGUUUUCCACAAGCUGUCCGCCCGCUGCCUCACAUCACUGCCCGGCACUGCUGGCCAUCUGGGUUUGCAGUCACUGCCCUGGCCUCAGCUGCUUGGGGCAGGGGCUGUGGCUGGAUCUUCACUGUGUCUCCAGAACCCUGGACAGUGCCUGGCUCCUGAAGGACGGAUGGAUGGAUGGAUGAGGCAGUGGAGGGACUGCAUGUGGGAAGGGUCCUCGGAGGCUUCUACCAAGGAGGGGGACCCUGGGGACAAUGUGGGUCAACUACUUUCUCCUCAGAAUGUGACCUCCCAUCCGCCGUGACUCAGCCCCAUCUGCUCCCUGCCCGUCAGGCCCUAAACCUCCAGUCCUGCCCGCAGCCUGUGAACGAGGACGCGAGACCUGGCUGUCCUGCCAAGCAGCGUGCCUGCCUUGUUCCAGCUCGUCUGCCUGGGGUGCAGGCAAGCGCUUCCGUAUCGCCUUUUAAUGGUCUACUUUGUUCACCAGGCUUUACAGUCACAGCCAGCUGGCUUGGCUGCCAAGUGGCCACGUCGGUCAUUAAGACAGCAGGUCAGCCGUGGAGCUGGACAACUUCCUGCUGCCCUGGGGAGCCAGCCUGAGGUGGCCACCCUCCACCUUUUCUGGGGGAAGGAGGCAGUGGGAACAUGGGGCAUCCAGUGGCCUUGCUCGGUGUUUUCUGAGGUGCAAAUGCCAAUCCGCUGUACCACCUCCCCGGGGGACCUGAGUCCCCUGGGCUCAAGAGGAGCCCCUCAGUGUUUGUGUCUGGAACGCAGUCAGGAGCUGAGUGGGAAGGAAGGAAGGCUGGGGGAGGAGCUCCCUGCGAUCUGUCUGAGGGGUGCCUGCCCCUCCUCCUUCCUGACCGUCUCUUCGCUCUCCCGCAAUUUCACAGGGAAGCACAAGCAGGUGUCCCCACUGCCAGAGGCCAGGCCCACCCUCUGCGUCCACCAGCUUCGCUCUGGGCCAGUGACCCUGGAAUGCUGGCCCACUGGGGCGGGCGGGGUCUGUUAACACAGAGUCAGGGGCUGGAGGUCUGCUUUUCCAGGCAGUUUUCUGUCACUCCCGGGGGAUGGACACGAGCAGGUCUGGGAAGCAGCAGAUCCAGGUCAUUCAUCCACUCACAUGCUCCAGGGCAGCACCUUGAGGCUGGGGGUGCCGGGUGCAGCACCCUCACUCUCUGCAAGUCCAUGGUCUAUACCCUCCUGGGGUCACAGUGCCCGCUGAGCUUCCUUUUUCCAGCACUGUUCUGAGCUCCUUAGCUCGCUAAACCUUGGAGCCAGAGCCACCGUAAUCCAGAGGCACAGAGAAGUUAGGCAACUUUCCCAAGAUCACACAGGAGCUGGACCCAAAGGCAGGUGCUCUGGACCCUGAGUACAUGCCCUGAGCACUAGACACACUGCCCACCAGACAAGUGCUGUGCAGAGUGCACAAGAGUGUAAUGAGAAGCCGUACUUGUGCAGCUUUAGAUAAGAUAGUCAGGGAGGACUGCUUGGAGGGGGUGACACUCCAGAAGGAAGAGGCCGAACAGAAGAGCCCUCUAGCCAGCGGCUGUGAGUGACCUCUCCCUCCUCUCCAGCGAGAGACCCCCGGAUGGCUUACAGCUCAGUGGGGAUCGGGCCCAUGAGAGGCCCCCAGCUUGUCUGAGUUGGAAGAGCCUGGAGCCAUUCUGCUCCCGCGUGGGCUGGGGCUGAGCCUUGGGUGGGAACACGAGAGACAGUGGGGUGGUCCUGCGGGGGUGGGAUCCCAGGAGGCAGCCCUGGGAGGAGCCCUGCGACGUGAGCUGAGCCUGGAGCUCCAUAUGGAUGUCCCCUUGCCGAGGACAAGCUGAUAGCGUCCCUUGUUGGCUGGCCCUGGCCCUGGUCUCACUGGGGCUGUGCUGUUCCUCCCCGGGUCAAGAGCCUGAGCCCCACAGAGUGGGAGUCCCAGGCCCCGCCCCUAAUGAAAGACCCCCCUCCCCACAAAGGCUCUGCACGCUGCAGGGCAAGUGGCCUCACUAAGCCACCCAAAACAAAGCAGAACAGAUCAGGUGUGUGUGUGUUGGGGUGGGGGAUCUUAAAGCAACCGAAAUCUAUUCUCUUGUAGUCUGGAAGCCAGAAGUCUGAAAUCAAAGCAUUAGCAGGACCAAACUCCCUCCCAAGGCUUUAGGGGAAGUUCUCUCCCUGCCUCCUCCAGUUCCUGGGAGCCCCAGCAUCCUCUGGAUCGUGGCCACACCACUCAGCCUCCUCUCUGAUCCUGGGACCCUCCCUGUGGGCUGUUCAACUGUCUCUGCCUGCGUCUUCUGGGGUCACGUGUGCAUGGGGCCCAGGACCCCUGCAGGCCACAUCGCUGGAGUGUGAGGACCCAGGGACUCUGAGACCCUCUAACCAGCAGCCCCACCUGCCUCCAGAGAAAGCCCCUGGGGACCCGCCCCCCUCACCCCGCCUCACCCCACAGAGCCGAGGCUGGCCUGAGCCUGAGGCCUUGUCCGCAAGCAGCUUCCCACAGGCCCCGACAUCCCGGGCUGGCCACAUCCUCCGGGGCGCUCGGUCACUGUGCACUUCCCUCCAUCGGGACAGGGACAUGCUGCGCUGCCUCCAGUUGGGCCAGGAAGUCAACAUGACUGAAGUGACAGGGAUUUAAGUGUCCCCAUGCCUGCUGCUCUCCAGGCCUCAAGUCAUUGUCAUCUCUGUGUGCCCACACCAUCCACAGGCUUCAGACACACUUGUGCAAUAGGCCCCCUUCCCUCUGGCGCCGCUCCUCCAUCUCAGCACAGCCAUGGCGCAGGUGCGAGCCUGGGCACGUGUGUGCAGGCGUGGCUGUCCAAGGCCCCGCGGUCUCCGCACAGACCUGCCCUCCCUGCCCAGGCAGAGCUGUGAGGCCCCAAGGACGUCCCCGCAAACCCCGAGAGGGAGGGUGGGCAAUACAGAUACCCAGACACGCGCACACCACACGUGCGCGCACACACUCAGAAGACACACACUCCACAUACACCCUCCCCACUCACACGCACAUCACGCACAGACACACGCACGCCCACACCCACACACCUGAGGGGUGACUUGAGCAAACAGCUUUCCGUCACGAUGGUUCCCAGACUCAGGCAGGUCCUGUCGUCCACACUGAGGGUUGCUCUGCACGGUGACUGCGACACUUCUGUGCCAGGGCUCUGAAAAGUGUCAGGAACCCCCUUGGUGUCCCCAAGCCUUGUGCCUGCACCUUACAAAUGAUACGGGGUCUCACAUGGUUCACAGAGCCCCAGGAUCUGGGAGGGCCCUCCUCACCCACUCUCAGCCCCUCCACUUGGGCUUCUGUUCCAAGGGGGCCCGGAGCGGCUGUACUGAAGCCAGGACAGCCUGGAGGACAGAGUCAUCUGCCGGCAGCCAGCACCGAAGUGACGAAUGCCCUCCUCUCACGGCCUCAGGCUGCGUACCUGCUGUGCGGAGCGCAGGCAGGCCCCUCCCUUCGAAGGCCCUUUCCCACCCAGGCCAGGAGCCCGCGUGCAGUCUGCCUGCUGACUGGGUUCCCGUCUGGCUUCUCUCUGAGCUGACCCCUCCCUUGGAAGUAAGGAGGCGGGUGGGCCCCCCUGGGAUCUCCAGCAGGGCCUCUGCGCUGGCUCAGGAGAGGGACAUUCAGGGGGCAGGACGCCCCCAGCUCCCCCGCACAGUGGGUGCAGGACAGCCGGCUCCAGUCUUCAGGUUUAUUAUUCUUUAGACUUUUUACCCAGUGGGCUGGAAACCCAGGAGGAGGGACAGGAAGGAGAGCCACGCAAGAGGUGGGGGGUUUUGGUUCCUGUUUUCUCUCCUUGGACCUGCCAGGACGCUAUCAGGUGUGGGCCGGGGGCCCCCCAGGUGCGCCCACGUGGCCCCGGGUCCAUGGCUCCCCCCAGGGGCCGGGCACCGGUUCCCAGAGCCCCGGUUCCAGACCCUCCCUGCCUCCGCACAGGCCGGGAGAGGGCGAGCCCCACGCAGGCUGACGUCAGCCCAGCCUUCCGGACAGGAAGCCUGGAGCCGGCAUCCGGACCGCCAGUCCGCGCCCGGCUGUGGCUGGCACCGGGGACGCCGCAGCUCUGAACAAGAGGGGCUAAAAUGCUCCCUUCGCCCAGUGAAAUUCUCAGGUGCGUCCUGGAGCAGCCCCCAUCCUCCCCUGAUGGGCAGCAGACAUUCUGGUCUGGCCAAGGGGACCACCCCCAACAAGGGCAGAGCUGGAGUGGCCCAGGGCUACCACAGUGCCCCUCUCCCCGGGGAUCCAAGUUGGGUCAGUGUCAGGCCAAGCAGGGCGGGCGCUACCCCACCCACGCCCCAGCGGGGAGUCGGCCCUGUGUAGGUGCUCAGCUAAGAUGUCGGAACCUUCCAGAACCCCGCAGGCCCGUGGUAGCCCGUCUCUGACACGCAGUCCACCCCCACUUAUCCCUCAGUCUCGGGGCUCCUUUUCUUCCUGGUUCCAUUGCUCCUAGGAACUCACAGGACUUCGGACAGAUCUGAGUUCAGAUCCUGCCCCCUCCUGGGGCCGGCGGGUGUCGGGGGGCUGUGGGCGUGAAUGCCCCCUCCAUGGCGGUUCAGACGCACUGACACCAGGAUGAGGCAGCGGGCACUUAAGCAGCAGAGGGAACUUCGGGGGGUGGGUGGAUUUCAGACCCUGGGUCUUCCGGCUUCUGGGAGCUGCAUUCUGCAACCAGAAAAAUCCCAUCUGAAGCCCUGCGGUGGGGCCCAGGAAGCUACAUUUUCACAAGGCCCCGAAUUUGCAACAUGUCUGAGCUCUGUGUUGUAGCCUCGGGCUGGGGCCCUGGUUCACCAGCUACAUCCCUCAGUGUUUCUGAGCUUCAGCUUCCUCAUCUGCAAAAGGCCAGUCUCACCGCAGCCUGCGCAGAAUGCUCUAGGCGUGGGUGCUGGGCCAUAGCAGGUGUCGGGCAAGUGGUCCUGCCCCAGCAAACACGGAAACCACACAGCACGAGAGUGAAAGGCGCCUGCCGCUCUGCCGUCCAGCGGACAUGGGUUCUGAAACAUUUCAGUGUGUUUUCAGCUUACCUUAUCAAUAUAGUACAAUUAAAAACUGGGGCCAUGCUGUAUCUCUACCGUGCUUUGUCCUCUAGGAAAUUAGGAUUGUUUUCAGUUUUUCACUAUGAUAGAUUUGUGACAACUGUAGUUAAUAGUCUUAGAAAAGAACCUGUGCAUCUGAAAGAUCAUUCCCUAAGGCUAAACUUCCAACUGAAACCCACAGAGGCCUUCACGCUCCCUUGUCGCUUUCAGACGUUGAUCUGCCCCCUCUCCCAGGCCCGAAGGCCAGCUGCGAUCCCUGCGAUCCCAGGCUGUGUCGCUGUAGAGUGUGGUGCUGCCCGGGAAGGGUCGAGCCUGGGAAAUGUCUUUGGCGUUGUCCUCCCGCACACACCAGUCUGCCGGUCGCCCAGCCACCUGCCUGCUGUGCUGUCCUUGCUGGGGUGGGGGGCAGCUGCCAUGGGAUGGGGGGGCCCUGGGUGCAGUCCUGCUCCUUGCUCUCUGGCCAUGCAUCUAGGGACCGUGUAAGAGAGGGGCGUGGGUGGCACAGUGCACCCAGCCCUAGUCUCUUGUAGGCUCCCCCACCCGGUCUCUCUGGCCCUGUCCCCCGGGUCCCUGUGGGCCAGGACUUGCAUGGGGGCUGGGAAGCACGCUUCACGCCUCUGGCUCUGAGCAGCCGCAGGGGUGACAGGAGGAGGAGUGCCUACAGGGACAGGUGACUUCGUCUGUAAACCGAGGGAGACCCCUGGGGGCAGGGCUUCCUUGUGCUUUUGCCAAAUGACCUGGGCCCACCAAGAUCUGUGAGAGCCAGGGCCUUUCCUCCCUCCUCCAGAGUCUUAAAUCCUUUUUAUCCUGAAAAUGUUUGAACAUCCAGAAAUAGGAGAAUAAUCUAAUGUCCCAGCAACAAAUGAACAGGUUUGACCUGUUGUCACAUUUGCUUUGCUUUAUUAUUUGUGUGUAUGUGAAAUAUAUUACAGGAGAUAACACCCAGCCUGGCAUCUCACCCCUAAACAUUUAGGAUAAAUCUUUGGCAGAGACAAACACUUCAAACCUCUGGCAGAGACAAGCAAUUCUUACACGACCUCUACGCUAUCACCACAGGUAACCAGAGCAGGCUCCUUCCUCCGUGUCAUCCAGUACUAGUCCAUGUUCAAGAUUUCCACGGUCCCCCAGAUGCUGUUUCACAGCUGGUUUGUUUGAAGAAUGAUACAAAGUCCCCACCCUGCAUUUGCUUUUAUGUCACUUCCAUUUCUCCUCAUCUGUAAACAGCCCCUCCCUUUUUUCUUGCAUGCCAAGGCUUAUUGAAGAGGCCAGGUCAAAAACCCCUCAUUCAGGAUGUCUCUGUUUGUUGAGAUGACGUCUAACUGUCCUCUGCCUCCCUUUCCCUGUGAUUUCCUGUAAAUGAGAGUUUAGAUCUAAAGGGUCCAUUAGACUCAGGCUCAUUACUUUGGCAGGAAAACUUCACAGGUGUUGCAUCUCUCAGAAGGCAGCAGGCUGUUUGGCUCUGAGGAUGCUGGGACGGACCACUAAUAAUGAACUAUCAGAAAAAGAAAUUUUAAAGAUAAUCCUGCUUAUAAUUGUAUCAAAAAUAAUAAAUACCUGGAAAUAAAUUUAACCAAGAAGGUGAAAGGCCUAUAUACUGAAAACUACAAGACACUAAUGAAAGAAAUUUAAGAAGACACGAACAGAUGGAAAGAAAUAUCAGCUCAUGGAUUGGAAAAAUGAACAUUGUAAAAACGUUCAUACCACCCAAAGCAAUACACAGAUUCACUGGAAUCCCUCCCAAAAUUCCAAUGGCAUUUUUCACAGAAAUAAAACAGACAACCCUAAAAUCUGUAUGGAGCCAUAAAGACCCUGAACAGCCAAAGAAGUCUUGAGAAGGAAGGACAAAGCUGAAGGGAUCGAGCAUCUUGGUUUCAAACUAUAUCACAAAGCGACAGUAAUCAAAACAGUAUGGUACUGGCACAAAUAGACACAUAGAUUAAUGAAACAGAUUAGAGAGCCAAGAAAUAAACCCACUAUAUAUGGUCAAUUGAUUUAUGACAAAGGAGCCAAGAAUAUAAAAUAGGAAAAAAAGAGAAUCUCCUCAAUAAAUGGUAUUGGGAGAGCUGAACAGCCACAUGAAGAAGAAUGAAGCUGGAUCACUGUCUUGCAGCACACACAGAGAUCAACUCAAAGUGGAUUAAAGAUUUGCAUGUCGGACCUCAAACCAUACAGCUCCUAGAAGAAAAGGUAAGGGGUAAACUCUUCGACAUAGGCCUUGGUGGUGACACCGUAAGCAAAAGCGACAAAAGCACAAAUAGACAUGCAACUGAAAGCUUCCGCACAGCGAAGGACGCUGUUGGCAAAAUGGAAAGGAAACAAACCGAACGGGAGAAAAUAUUUGCAAACCAUGUGUCUGAUAAAGGGCUGGUAUUUGAAAUAGAUAAAGAACUCAUACAAUUCAGCAGCAAAAAGUUGAAUCUAAUUUAAAAAUGGGCAGAAGAUCUGAAGGGACGAUUUUCCAAAGAAGACACACAGAAGGCCAACAGGGACAUGAAAAGAUACUCAGCAUCACCAAACGUCAGGGAAACGCACAUCAAAACCACAGUGAGGUGUCACCUCGCACCUGCCAGAACGGCUAAUAACAUAAAGACGAGAAACAAAAAGUGUUGGCGAGGAUGUGGAGGGAAGAGAAACCUUGUGCACUUUGGUGGGAAAGUAAAUUGGUGCAGACACUAUGGAAAACAGUAUGGAGGUUCCUCAAGAAAUUACAAAUAGAAUUACCAAAAGAUCCAGCAAUUACACUUCUGGGUAUUUAUGUGGGAAAAAAAUGAAACACUAAGUCAAAAAGAUACCUGCGCCCCACGUUCACCACAGCACUUUUUUCAGUAACCGCCACACAGGAACGACCCACGGGCCCACUGAUGGACGGUGGACGUGGGAUCUGUAACGCGUACUAUCCGGCCAUAAAAGAGUGGCGUUUGCCACUUGCCACAACGUGGGUGGAUGUCGAGGACAUCAUGCUAAGUGAACAAAGUCAGACAGAGAGGGACAAACACCGCAUGACCUCUCUUACACACGGGAUCUGAAAAACAGAGACAAAAAACCCAAGCUCACAGACACAGAGAAGAGACUGGUGGCUGCCAGAGGCUCGGGGAGGCAGCGGGAGGGAGCCGAGAGACGGGUGGAGUAUUCCUGCUUUCAGUUUAAAUAAAUUGAAAAAAAUAAAGCUUGCGAUUACACUGACAUUUCCAAUUCAAAUUUAAGACUGAAGUGUUAUACUUAACCCGUGUGAUUGUUCAUUUGUUCGUCUUUUUCUCACACCAAUACUUUUGUUUCCUC